UUAUAAUUUUUAGUACGAAAGGACCAUUAUUAUGGAAUUUUUUUUUAUUUUUGAAUAGUUUU
rnacentral:rRNA from 1 species